GCAGGAGAUUGUGCAGUUGGUUAGAGUGUGGUGCCGACAACACCAAGGUUGCAGGUUCGAUCCCUGCAUGGGACAGCUGCA